AUUGAACGCUGGCGGAAUGCUUUACACAUGCAAGUCGAGCGGCAGCACGGGGGCAACCCUGGUGGCGAGCGGCGAACGGGUGAGUAAUACAUCGGAACAUGCCCAGUCGUGGGGGAUAACACUUCGAAAGAAGUGCUAAUACCGCAUACGUCCUGAGGGAGAAAGCGGGGGAUCUUCGGACCUCGCGCGAUUGGAGUGGCCGAUGUCAGAUUAGCUAGUUGGUGGGUAAAGGCCUACCAAGGCAACGAUCUGUAGCUGGUCUGAGAGGAUGAUCAGCCACACUGGGACUGAGACACGGCCCAGACUCCUACGGGAGGCAGCAGUGGGGAAUUUUGGACAAUGGGGGCAACCCUGAUCCAGCCAUUCCGCGUGAGUGAAGAAGGCCUUCGGGUUGUAAAGCUCUUUCGGCAGGAACGAAACGGUGAGCUCUAACAUAGCUUGCUAAUGACGGUACCUGAAGAAGAAGCACCGGCUAACUACGUGCCAGCCGCCGCCGUAAAAC
rnacentral:rRNA from 1 species